rnacentral:rRNA from 1 species
UACGUAGGGUGCGAGCGUUAAUCGGAAUUACUGGGCGUAAAGCGUGCGCAGGCGGUGAGCUGUGUCCGAUGUGAAAGCCCCGGGCUUAACCUGGGAAUGGCAUUGGAAACUGGCUCGCUGGAGUGUGGCAGAGGGGGGUGGAAUUCCGCGGUGGUAGCAGUGAAAUGCGUAGAGAUGUGGAGGAACACCGAUGGCGGAAGGCAGCCCC